CUCUGUUCCGUCAAAUAUUUUUUCAGAGAGCUGCAGCUACAUGUAGGAAGGAGUCUGAAAUCCAAUGCACAUCGUGAGGGGUACUACUAAACAGAGUCACAUUUUCAAGGUUUUUCAUAAAGGAAAAUACAAUGAAGAAGAUUCAGACAUCAUCACGUGGAUCAGUUAAAUUAAAGGAGGAAGAGAGACCCAUUCUCUACUACAGUAAACGUUACAAUUACCUUUUGGAAGAGGAUAGAAAAGAAAUUGUGAAAACACUUCUGCUUCUGAGAGUAAUGGAAAAUCGAGCAAGAACAAAAAAGAAAACCUAAACAGUGUUAUAGAUUUUUUUAGAGUCAAUUUUCUAGGACUGGUCAUAGCUAGUUUAGACAAGUUAAUAUGCAAUUUUUUGAAUUGAUAAAUGAUGACUUAAUUGAAUUUAUUAAUUCAUAUGGAAAUUAAUACAUUGGAAACAAUGGCAGCUUAUUGUGAAUGUUAUUUAUAAUUCAAAAUGCAUUGUGUCUACCUGAUUUGAAAAAAUGCAUUGUGUAUGCUUUUUGAGCACUCAUCAUUGUUUUAUACAUUUUUAGGUGUCAUGAGUCACCCGUGACCUAUUUUUGCAAUUGGCAGUCAUCCUUCGGGUGUUAACAAUAGAACAUUUUUAAUUUCUUCUUGAUAGCUACUCUCCCAAUUCUUUUCAAAUUUGAUAUAGAACAUUUUUGGGACAAGGGGGACAUAAAUUGUAAAUUUUAGGACCCAUGAACCCCUGUGGCCAUAAGGGUGGGUGGGCCAAAAAUUGACCAGCUUUCAAAAAUCAUCUUCUUUACAAGCACACAUCUGUAAGAAAAACCAAAUACAUAGUGAUGUAGAGGAGGAUGGUCUACACUAAACAUAAAUUUCCUGAUUCUCGGGCUAGAGGUUCUGACAUUAAGAUAGGGCAUACUCAGGUGACCAAUAAGGCUUUUGGGCCUCUUGUUUUUAUUUCUUUUUAAAUUCCCUGAGUUUUACUGAUGGAAAUUAGUUCUUUGGCUGUGCUUGUCAACUUUUCACAUUUUCUUCUUUUUCUGCUGAACAAGAAGGCUAAUUUCAGCCAAACAUCCAAAAUUCAGGGAAUCUAGCAUCAUUCAGCUAUGUGCCAGUGAUGGUUUCCCGAAACGGGAUAAGUUUUUGAAAUAAUGAAAUUAAGUAAUAGUGAUUUUAAAAUUGUAGUACUUAGAUAUCAGUUAAUUCAAAUGAUGGCACUACAGUAAUGAUAAGGUGUACAUAAGAAUAUUAGAGAUGUUUGGCUUAGUAGUAUAUGAAGGUUCUUGUUAUAUUGAUUGGAAAAAAAAAUGAAGCACUGAAGGUUUAAUCUUGCAUUUUCAUUAUCAUAAACAAAAAGUGAGAUGGGGCCAACCAGUCAAUACAUGGAACUUCAGUAUGCAAUAAGGACUUUCCACUGAGAUAAUACAAAAAAGGAUAUAUAAUUCUAUAUUACAUAUGUCAAAAGCUGUCAAAAGAUGUCAUUGCUAUGUGCCUGUACAAAUUAAACAGUUAAAGACCUCGUACAACAAUCCAUUACCAGAGGAAACGUUAGAAGGUGUGAAUAUAUAUUUAUUUAUCCCGCUUCAGACAAAUUUACAGGUAAUUGAAUGGAUAAAAGCUAAUCACACGACGUCCUGAAACUGACCAUAACAAAUUUAUCCUGCUGAAGACCUGUAGAAAAUUUGUUAAGAUUUCAUUAACAUCUUUGAUAAAUAUCAUUCAAUUACUAAAUUGAAUUCCAUAUACGUGUGUCUCAUUGAAAAUCAUAUUACCACAAUAUCAAAACAUCACAAUUAAAAAUAUGAACACUAACAUUAAAUAAACAAAUCAUGUAUGUUGAAACUGAAUACAUGUAGAUGUACACUGACAGCUACAGUCAGUUUGGGGCGUAAUACAGAGUCAUCCACGGUGUGAAAUGGAAAUCUAUAUUGGGACUCGCGCCCCAUUUCAUACCCUGGAUGACUCUGUAUUAUGUCUUAAACUGACAGUGUAACUUAAUUAUAAUAUAAAUUAAUAAUUUCUUUAUCUACAUAAGAUGGUUAUGUAUUAUUAUGAUGUAUUCAUAUUCUAUAUUUCAGUUUGCGUUUGUAUUUGAUGAAUUCAAUUAUGCAUUGACAACAUCAAUUUUUAUACAUGUAGGCCUUUGAUUGAUUAAUUAUCUAUCUAACUACAUGUAUCUACAGAACUGUAUAUAUAAUUCAUUUAAUAUUUACCUAAAUAUGAUAUGUUAAUCCAUAUUUUAGUUUCCAUUUGUAUGUAAUAAAUUCAAUUGUACAUUGGCAACAUCUAGCUGAUUCAAUGUUUAUAGGCCCAUGUUUAAUUAUCAAAAUGGAUAUAAUAAUACGUGCAUUGAUUAUGAAAAUUCAAUGAAAAAAUGAAAACCUGUAGCUGAUGUAAAUAUAAUUUCAAUAUCAAUUCCUAUGGGCCUCUUGUUUUAAUUUCUAAUUACAUAAUUGUAAUGGUUGCUAUGCAUGAUGACAUUAUUCUAAUCUGGAUGUUUCCUAUCGUAACUUUUAAUUGGUUAAAAUAAUGUCCUUAUCAUAUACUUUAAAGAGAAUAUUGACAAAACGUGUUCUUCAUAAAUAUCAUGACAUUGUUUAGAAUUUACUUCAAAUUGUGUGCAUCAAUGAGUUUCAAGUGUUAAAAAUGAAUGAAAUUCUACGUCAUAAUAUAUCACUCGUGACGUCAUCUCUCUGGAACCAUGCAAGAUAAGACCAUAGAAUUUUCAAUGCACAAUUAGGCAUACAUGUGUGUCAUUUUAAAGCAAAAAUCUCAUUUUUGAUAAAUUUCCUGAUUUGUAAUAUAUUGGACUCGAGUAGUUUAAUAAUUUGGCAUCAGCAUAAUAAAUUAAUAUUCCUCAACUCAAAUACAAAAUGGAAGAAACUCUUGGUCAAUUUUUCAUGCCUGAAACUCUACAUAUAUGAGCAUUUAUGCCAAUAUUACAUCAAGACAGAGUACUAGGGUAUAUGAGGUAUGCACAUACAUCUGCAUUUCUAUGGGUACAGCAUUGAGAGAGAACUAAUUGUUAAUAAGAGAAUUGAAUGAUAUUCACAGAAUAUGUGACCAACCAUGAGAUUUUGGUUCCAUUUUAGAUUUUAGUUGCAUUAAUAUUACUAUUAAUGUAAAUGUAAUUUAAGUAGCAGGUUACUUAUAUAUUGCAUUGUGUAAAUUAUCUUAUAGCUAUAAUAAAUACAUGUGACCAUA